UACGAAGGGGGCUAGCGUUGCUCGGAAUCACUGGGCGUAAAGCGCACGUAGGCGGAUUGCUAAGUCAGGGGUGAAAUCCUGGAGCUCAACUCCAGAACUGCCUUUGAUACUGGCGAUCUCGAGUCCGGGAGAGGUGAGUGGAACUGCGAGUGUAGAGGUGAAAUUCGUAGAUAUUCGCAAGAACACCAGUGGCGAAGGCGGCUCACUGGCCCGGUACUGACGCUGAUGCGCGAAAGCGUGGGGAGCAAACGGGG
rnacentral:rRNA from 1 species